rnacentral:rRNA from 1 species
UCUUGACACAUAUAAGAGGUCCAGCCUGCCCAGUGACCUAGUUCAACGGCCGCGGUAUCCUAACCGUGCGAAGGUAGCGUAAUCACUUGUUCUUUAAAUGAGGACUAGUAUGAAUGGCACCACGAGGGUUACACUGUCUCCUCUUUUCAAUCAGUGAAACUAAUCUUCCCGUGAAGAAGCGGGAAUCUUUUUAUAAGACGAGAAGACCCUAUGGAGCUUUAAACAAGUUAACACUUGCUGCCCAAAAUAACUUUUUCAGAAACACAACAUACAGCAUAGCAUUAUGAUUAAUAGUUUUCGAUUGGGGUGAUCACGGAGUAAAAAAUAACCUCCAUGCCGAAAGGACUCCUCCCUGAGCAAAAAGCCACAACUUUAAGCACUAAAAAAAUUAACGUUAAUUGACCCAAUAUUUUGAUCAACGAACCAAGUUACCCUAGGGAUAACAGCGCAAUCCACUUCAAGAGCUCCUAUCGACAAGUGGGUUUACGACCUCGAUGUUGGAUCAGGGUACCCCAGUGG